rnacentral:lncRNA from 1 species
GACUUUUGCAGGGCUGUGCCUCCUUUCCUCCCCAGACAAAAUCCAUCACGUCAGCAGUCACAGGGCACCCUGGUUCCCUCUCUGAAUGAACUGUUAAAUGACUAAGCUGGCUCCCAACAGAGGCAGAGCCCAGCAAUAUGCGGCCUGUAAUCUGUCAGAUGAUACAGCAACAGGCCCAGUGAGGGGCCCGACACACCCCCCAGGAGAGUGGAGUCUCUCACUGCAUGUGACGUGGAAGACGCCGAAGAGGUGAGGGAGGCACCAUAUGCUGCGGGCCUGCCAAGGGAGAAUAAACAGCACCGGCAGCCUGGCACAGAGCUCUGGCGGGAACGUCCACCAAGAUCGGUCAGGCACUCUCAUGGCGUCCUCCUGGAUACAGGCUUUUGCUUUUGUUUUUAAUUUUGGAGCAGUGAAGCCGAAAGUGAGGAGUGAGGACAAGGAGAAGACCCAUUUGCUCCUGUUCAUUCAAACAGCAUCUCUUCAUUUUGAAAUUGGCAAGAGGCAGUUCGGGGCUGUGGCAGGUCCUGUACACCACCUGUUGCCUCCCAAGUCACUGUGCCUUUCUGGCUUUCUUUACCUAUGUCCUGUAAAACGCCAGCAAGAACUCUACAUCUUCAACAUUUUGUAGAGCAUUCCCUGCGAUGUGGAAAAUUCUGCUGGGCUAUUCCCUGAGGACACCUCUACCUUUCGUGUCCAGAAUUGGUGGGUUCUUGGUCUCACUGACUUCAAGAAUGAAGCCGCGGACCCUCGCAGUGAGUGUUACAGUUCUUAAAGGCGGUGUGUCCGGAGUUUGCUCCUUCUGAUGUUCAGAUGUGUUCGGAGUUUCUUCCUUCUGGUGGGUUCGUGGUCUCGCUGGCUCAGGAGUGAAGCUGCAGACCUUCGCAGUGAGUGUUACAGCUCUUAAGGUGGUGCGUCUGGAGUUGUUCCUUCCUCUCGGUGGGUUCGUGGUCUCGCUGGCUUCAGGAGUGAAGCUGCAGACCUUUGCGGUGAGUGUUACAGCUCAUAAAGGCAGUGUGGACCCAAAGAGUGAGCAGCAGCAAGAUUUAUUGCAAAGAGCAAAAGAACAAAGCUUCCACAGUGUGGAAGGUGACCCGAGCGGGUUGCCACUGCCGGCUUGCAGCCUGCUUUUAUUCCCUUAUCUGGCCCCACCCACAUCCUGCUGAUUGGUCCAUUUUACAGAGAGCCAAUUGGUCUGUUUUACAGAGAGCUGAUUGGUCCGUUUUGACAGAGUGCUGACUACCUCUUGAGAGUUUUCCAGGCUUCCUAAGGCUUUGGAGCUUUCCUGAGUCAGGGCCUUUGCACAUGCUAUGUCUUUUGCCAGAGAGGCUGAUUGCUCAGCAUUAUGCAUGCCUGGUUCCUUCCCAUCAUGUAGGUCUUCUGGUCAAGUACCCCCUCUUCAGAGAACGUUUCUCCCCCACCCUUCCCCUCCAGUGCGCACUGCCAAACCCUGCUCGAAACCA